rnacentral:rRNA from 1 species
UACAGAGGUGGCAAGCGUUGUUCGGAAUUACUGGGCGUAAAGGGCGCGUAGGCGGCCUUCUAAGUCAGACGUGAAAUCCCCCGGCUUAACCUGGGAACUGCGUCUGAUACUGGGAGGCUUGAGUAUGGGAGAGGGAUGUAGAAUUCCCGGUGUAGUGGUGAAAUGCGUAGAUAUCGGGAGGAACACCAGUGGCGAAGGCGACUUCCUGGCCUGUUCUUGACGCUGAGGCGCGAAAGCUAGGGGAGCAAACGGG